UCGUUAUCGUUUCUGUGUCUAGGCGACUGUCUCUGCAAAAAUGGAGGUAGCAGCAGCGACUGCGACUGCGACUGCGAGGAGCUUCACAACACUUCGAGCUCGUACGUCAGCGAUAAUCCCGUCUCGAUAUAAAGUGAGAUGUUCGUCAUCUUCGUCUCUCAGAGCUUCUCUCUCUCUCGAAUGGCUUACUCUCCCCAUAUAGCGGAGGAAACAUCUCUAGCGACUUCUGUGGCUCCAAGCUUUUUUCGGAAUCGCGUAAUCCGUUAAAUCUGCUCAAUUCUAAGCCCAAGCGCGGAGUUGUCACUGUGGUUAUACCUUUUUUCAAAAGGAAGUGCACACGAACAGCCUCCUCCUGAUUUGGCAUUGUAUUUGUUCAAAAACCGAAUUGUAUAGUUGGGAAUGUCUCUGGUGCCUUCAGUCACUGAGUUGAUACUCGCCGAGUUUCUUUACCUUCAGUAUGAAGACGAGGAAAAGCCUAUUUACCUCUACAUAAACUCCACAGGGACAACCAAUGUAUAGUGAACGCAUGUUGGAUAGUGACCUUAAAACUGUGGGAGUGGAUGAUUUAGAGGUUUGUAUAUCAUCACCUAGUCUUUAUAGUGUUUAAGAGAAUUUUAUUUUCUUACUUUUCAUAAUGGUGAGAAGUUGGGCUAUGAUACUGAGGCUUUUGCAAUUUAUGAUGUCAUGGGGUUAGUAAUCUUUUUUCUCUCUUCUUUGAUUACUUCAUUCUCGUAUAAGAAGAAUUUAUGACUAAACUCUAAUCCUGGAACUGCUUUCCCAAAUAUUCUAAACCGCAAUUGAAGAAGACUUUCAUAUGAAGCACUUCUUGACUUGGGAGACUGAACAUAAUAUCCAUGGAAGAAGCAACUCUUUUUUUAUAUUUGACUUCAGGUAUGUCAAACCACCAAUCUUUACUCUUUGCGUCAGGAAUGCUUGGCGUGAAGCUGCUUUGCUUCUGACUGCUGGUGCUAAAGGAAAUUGUUCUGCAUUGCCCUCAUAAACUAUAAUUAUAAAACAUGUUUUUUUUUCCCUGAAGUGGCGUCUGUUUUUUCCUAAUUGUAAGAAAGCUAGGCUUUAUGAAUAACUGUUCGUCUGUUACUUAUCCAUGUAUUUUCUUUUAUUUGAUAACUUUGUAGCCAA